GACGAACGCUGGCGGCGUGCCUAAUACAUGCAAGUCGAGCGAGCGGAACUAACAGAUUUACUUCGGUAAUGACGUUAGGAAAGCGGGCGGCGGAUGGGUGAGUAACACGUGGGGAACCUGCCCCAUAGUCUGGGAUACCACUUGGAAACAGGUGCUAAUACCGGAUAAGAAAGCAGAUCGCAUGAUCAGCUUUUAAAAGGCGGCGUAAGCUGUCGCUAUGGGAUGGCCCCGCGGUGCAUUAGCUAGUUGGUAAGGUAAAGGCUUACCAAGGCGAUGAUGCAUAGCCGAGUCGAGAGACUGAUCGGCCACAUUGGGACUGAGACACGGCCCAGACUCCUACGGGAGGCAGCAGUAGGGAAUCUUCCACAAUGGACGCAAGUCUGAUGGAGCAACGCCGCGUGAGUGAAGAAGGUUUUCGGAUCGUAAAGCUCUGUUGUUGGUGAAGAAGGAUAGAGGUAGUAACUGGCCUUUAUUUGACGGUAAUCAACCAGAAAGUCACGGCUAACUACGUG
rnacentral:rRNA from 1 species